GUUUGAUGGUUUGCAGCUGAUUCCAAGAGCUGUUUGUGUUUACGAAUGAUCAAAAUGCACAUGUAUUCUGCUCUGCUGCUCUGCUGAAGUGUACGUGAAGCGUGGACGCUGUGGCUCAGCGGUGGAGCGUUGUGCCGAAGCAGCGCUCGCCGGUCAACUGAGGACAAAUGAAUGUAUUUUAACAAGCAGGACUAAAUAAAACAGUUCACUCCAGGGUGGAAGUGUUAAUGGGAAACACAAGAGAGCCAUCAUCAUCUUUAUCCUCAUCACCAUCAUCAUUAAGUCCAUUCCUUUCCUUCAUUGUAUUUGACAUAAUGUGCUGAUGCUGAUCUGUAGUGCUCAUCUGGGACCUGCCCCAGGGAGAAAAACUGUUUCGACAGACACUCCCCGCGAGAGCAGAGAUGUGCGUCACCUUGGGCCUACAUGUUUUGUUUUUUUUUUAUUUGUUUUUUUUUUAUUUUCCAGCACCUCAAAGCCUCUCCUUUUAUUCUCUGUCUCAUCUCAUCCACAUUUUAAUAUCAAUCUCAGUGGACUCCAUUAGUGCAGCACUUCUUUGAGAGUGUUAAUUUGUUUUGUCAAAAGCUUUGUUUAUCCCAGAUUAAUAUCUCAAUAAACAGAGGAGUACUGUACGGUGGUAAAUGAUCAUGAUUAUACAGUAGAAAGUCUGCGGCCCACGCUGUCGGACGCAGACUCUCACAAUGGGAGUUUCUCCACCAUUCAAAGCCCUCCAAACCUUUGAUUACAAUAACACCGUGGGUACUAAUUUACCGCAGUGAUCUCACCCCCACUCACUUUUAUGGCUCUUGAUUUUUUUUUCUGUCUCUGUCUGUAAACACAUUUCCCAUUUCACACUGAUUGCAAGCUUGACAUGCACGUGCACAUGGAGCAGUUGGGUGGGAAAUUGUUUGAAAAGGAGGGAUGCCCAACCUUUGACACAGUGCCGCCUCACCUCUGCAGCUUAAAGGGAACUGCAGCUACUGUUCGCUCUAUCAUUACACAGCAGAGGUCCCAGCAGGCCUAGAGUCUGUUCACUCACACUUGACCCUUUCACACACAGGAACCUUUUUUAACCGGUUAUUUGAGUGGCCCCUAUCAUAUCAGUAGGAGGUGGGAUGUGUGAGUGAAACGGCUAUAGCGGACGAGCAAUAGGGUCAUUAUGUCUCCGAGGAUGGGCCCCAGAAGGAACAGAGCAGGGACAACAUCAGCUGCGAUGUCAGAAAUGUCACCAAUUCAUAGCCAUAGGCAGUUCAGAGCCGGGUGGGUGGUGGAUGGUGGGGGGUGGGAGUGGGGAGGGGGGGGCUGCUAGUAAGGCAGAGACUGCAGUGAGACUGGAUCAGGCGAUAAGGAGAUGGAUGUGGCGCUUUUUGCUUUGUUUCAGAUGGCUUUCCGUUGGUGGUUUGCAGUUUAGAGGUGAUCACAUUAUGGUUCAAAUAGAUCAGGCUGGCUUCUCACAUCUCAAGUUCACUCAGAGAAUAAAAAAGAAAUCUGCUUGUAGUGGAACAAAGAUAAUGUGUGUUGGGUGUCUUUUAAGAAAAAUAAAUAAAUAAAUAAAAAAUGUGAAAAUGAGUUCACUGCCGCGUCAGCUGAUUAAAAGUGGAUUUUUAGAGCGCUAACAAAAUGUGACGGGAUUUUCCUAUAGAGAUUUUUAAAAUAUAAACAAUAAUAAAGUAGUACUAUUUUGUUAUUGGUCUCUUGUUACGUGUCCACAUUACUACUAUACAGUUCCUAUAGAGUAGUUUUAAGAAUAUGUAGGGUUAUGGCAUAAACCUAGUCAUGAGGAUUGUGCUGUUUCUCUUUUUUGUGUUAAAUAUGUACCCAAGAAGCUGUGUCAGCAGUUCUUUGAUGCACAGGGUGGGACCACUGGUAGAGGGGCUUUAAAGUAGGAUGGGCCCUCCAAAUGCUCAACCCUCAAGGCCCGUUCUACAUAAAAA